AAAAGGAAAUAUAUCGGAAAACGAAAUAAUACGAAAUAUAUUUCGUAUAUAUUGAAUAUACGAAAUAUAUUUUCCAUUCCCGAUAAAACGAACGAAUGUUAAAAAGUUCAAAGAUAAUUUAUGCAAAUGCCAAUAAUUGGAACAUAAAAUAUAGAAGGCAUAAAAUCCAAACUGUCGAUAAAACUAAUUACAUCGGCUUUAUCGAAACAAGUAUUUCUGUAUUAAAAUUAGCAAUCGAUAUUUGCAGGAAAGUGUAUAUCCAUGAACGUGAUUUAAUAUUUUUAGCUUGGAGAUUACUCAUUCCCAUCUUCGUAGGGAAAAAUCCUUUCAGCUGGAUAACACGAAAACUGCUUCUACGGACACAUUUUAGUGUUAUAGUGUUCUCAGAGUAACAAACGUGAUGGUUCGGUUACAAAGUCCCACGAGAAAGAGUAUUACCUUCAGUUCGAUAACCACAGAAGUUGUGACUCUGUCUGCAUUUCUGUACUACGUGAAUUGAAUCGGUAAAACUGCUCAAUUUUCUUUCCUUUCCAUGGAGAUAAGUGAAAGAUGUCCCCCAGGUUAGUAAGUUACAAUUUUGCAGUCGAAUUUUGGAAUUUCUCUUUUCUAGUUCUACUUUAUUUGGCUCGCCAAUCAUUCUGAUAUUCUCCAAACUACUUACGGUUUAUUUAAUACAACAAAAGGUCAUAAAGUUUUGAUGAUAAAGUGUGAAUAGUCUUAAUGAGGAUAAUAAUUUUCCAUUAUCGUACAAUUUUCAUUAAAUUCCUU
rnacentral:lncRNA from 1 species